GAUGAACGCUGGCGGCGUGCUUAACGCAUGCAAGUCGAACGGUGAAGCAGGAGCUUGCUCUUGUGGAUCAGUGGCGAACGGGUGAGUAACACGUGAGCAACCUGCCCCUGACUCUGGGAUAAGCGCUGGAAACGGCGUCUAAUACUGGAUAUGUGAUGUGACCGCAUGGUCUGCAUCUGGAAAGAAUUUCGGUUGGGGAUGGGCUCGCGGCCUAUCAGCUUGUUGGUGAGGUAAUGGCUCACCAAGGCGUCGACGGGUAGCCGGCCUGAGAGGGUGACCGGCCACACUGGGACUGAGACACGGUCCAUACUCCUACGGGAGGCUGCAGUCGAGAAUCUUCCGCAAUGGACGAAAGUCUGACGGAGCGACGCCGCGUGGUGGAUGAAGUCCCUCGGGACGUAAACACCUUUUAUGAGGGAAGAAAUUUUGACAUUACCUCAUGAAUAAGGGGCUCCUAACUCUGUGCCAGCCGCCGCCGUAA
rnacentral:rRNA from 1 species